CUUGCUCUGACAAAACAUACUAAAAUGUGAACAAUACAGUGAAGACUAGCAUGAUUCCUGUGCGAGGAUGCCCCUCAACUUCAUGGAGUGAUCCAGAUUUUA
ensembl:snRNA U6 U6 spliceosomal RNA